UACAGAGACUGCAAGCGUUAUUCGGAUUCACUGGGCGUAAAGGGUUUGUAGGUGGCUUGUUAAGUCAGACGUGAAAUCCCUCAGCUUAACUGGGGAACUGCGUCUGAUACUGAUGAGCUUGAGUGCAGGAGAGGAACGCGGAAUUCCAGGUGUAGCGGUGAAAUGCGUAGAUAUCUGGAGGAACACCGGUGGCGAAGGCGGCGUUCUGGACUGCAACUGACACUGAGAAACGAAAGCCAGGGGAGCAAACGGG
rnacentral:rRNA from 1 species